UGAUGCGAUCAUACCAGCACUAAAGCACCGGAUCCCAUCAGAACUCCGAAGUUAAGCGUGCUUGGGCGAGAGUAGUACUAGGAUAGGUGACCUCCUGGGAAGUCCUCGUGUUGUAUUCC
rnacentral:rRNA from 1 species